GUGGGGAAUAUUGCACAAUGGGCGCAAGCCUGAUGCAGCAACGCCGCGUGCGGGAUGACGGCCUUCGGGUUGUAAACCGCUUUCAGUAGGGACGAAGGUAACCUGACGGUACCUACAGAAGAAGGACCGGCCAACUACGUGCCAGCAGCCGCGGUGAUACGUAGGGUCCGAGCGUUGUCCGGAAUUAUUGGGCGUAAAGGGCUUGUAGGCGGUCUGUCACGUCGGAAGUGAAAACUCAGGGCUUAACCCUGAGCCUGCUUCCGAUACGGGCAGACUAGAGGGAUGCAGGGGAGAACGGAAUUCCUGGUGGAGCGGUGGAAUGCGCAGAUAUCAGGAGGAACACCGGUGGCGAAGGCGGUUCUCUGGGCAUUUCCUGACGCUGAGAAGCGAAAGCGUGGGGAGCAAACAGGCUUAGAUACCCGUGUAGUCC
rnacentral:rRNA from 1 species